ensembl:lncRNA uncharacterized LOC107307361
GCCGCUGGAGGCGGAGCCAGAGCUGGAGGCGGCCGUCGCCAUGGGAACAGAACCGGAAGUGCUGGCAGCGACUCGUGCCCUCUGCCGGAUGCGGGAGGAAGCCAUGAUGGAAAUGACGAAGCCACGCCCACUUCCGGAGUAAGCCCCGCCCCCUCACCUGUCAAUCAUCUAUUGCUCAUUAUGUGCCUCAUUUACAUCAUUAAUUAAUUAACCAUAUGCUAAUUUGUUAUUAUUUUCUUUUAAUUUAUGGUUACUUAGAGUGUUCUUGGUGCGUUUCUGGUUAACAAUCUCUUCUCUCACUAAUUAAGGAUUAAUUGCUGUUAAUUGGCUGCUCCUCAUUAGCAGUUAUUAAUUGGCUGCCCCUAAUUAACUAAUUAAUCCAAAUUAACUAAUUAAUUGCCAUUAAUUACUUACAGGAAGCAGCGUCUGCUGGCGGCAUCCAACCAGCAAUGGCUGCAGGCGGCUCAGGUAUGACCUCACUUCCUGUCCCGUCUGUGAUGUCACUUCCUGUAUCCAUGACGUCACUUCCUGUCUCAGUGUGACGUCACUUCCUGUCUCAGUGUGACGUCACUUCCUGCCACCGUUCCCACGUCCCCCUCGGUCUCUUCCUGUCUCAUUUCUGACAUCACUUCCUGUAUUGGAUGACGUCACUUCCUGCUUCCUUUCAAGUCACUUCCUUCCUGCCCCCAUGUCACUUCCUGUCCUCUUAGUGACGUCACUUCCUGCUCCACUUCCUGUUUCACAUCCUCACUCUUUCAGGUCACUUCCUGCCUCUAUGACGUCACUUCCUGUUUUCAUGACAUCACUUCCUGCCCCUAUGACGUCACUUCCUGCCUCUAUGACGUCACUUCCUGUCUUCAUGACAUCACUUCCUGCCCCUAUGACGUCACUUCCUGCCUCUCUGACAUCACUUCCUGUCUUCAUGACAUCACUUCCUGCCCCUGUGACACCACUUCCUGUCUCUAUGACAUCACUUCUUUUGUGUGUGACAUCACUUUCUGUCUCCAUUACAUCACUUCCUGUCUGGAUGACGUCACUUCCUGCCUCCAUUACAUCACUUCCUGCCUUUAUGACGUCACUUCCUACCUCUAUGACAUCACUUCCUGUCUCCAUAACAUCACUUCUUGUCUCCGUGACGUCACUUCCUGUCUGGAUGACAUCACUUCCUGUCUCCAUUACGUCACUUCCUGUCACAUCACUUCCUGCCUCCAUAACACCACUUCCUGUCUUCAUGACAUCACUUCCUGCCUCCAUAACAUCACUUCCUGCCUCCAUAACAUCACUUCCUGCCUCCAUGACGUCACUUCCUGUCUCCAUGACGUCACUUCCUGUUCUGAUGACGUCACUUCCUGUCCAGGAGCUCCUUGGCCGCCAUUCCCCGCGCUCUGUGCUGUGGGCUCUGAGUCACAUGACCAAGGAAUCCAUCCGGGAGCUGCAGGCCCCGCCCAGGAUUGUUGGAACACAGUGGGGGGGCUUUGGGCCCUGGCCCCCCCCAUAGCGGCUCGGCUGCCCCACAUGAGACAACGACUGCGGGACAUACAGGAACAGAUGGGGGAGGAGACAAGGUCUGACCCAUAAGUGACACCCCAGCCCCAUAAGUGACCACAUAGACCCAUAAGUGACCCCAUAGACCUAUAAGUGACACCCCAGCCCCAUAAGUGACCCCAUAGACCCAUAAGUGACCCCAUAGACCCAUAAAUGACCCCAUAGACCCAUAACUGCCCCCCCAAACCCAUAAAUAACCCCCAGCCCCAUAACUGUCCCCCCAGCCCCAUAAGUGCCCCACCCCAGCCCCAUAAGUGACCCCAUAGACCCAUAACUGCCCCCCCAGCCCCAUAACUAGCCCCCAGCCCCAUAAGUGCCCCCCCCCAGCCCCAUAAGUGACCCCAAAGACCCACAAGUGACACCCCAUACCCAUAAAGUGCCUUUCCAGCCCCAUAAGUGACCCCACCAGCCCCAUAUGUGUCCUUCCAGCCCCAUAAGUGACCCCUUCAGCCCCAUAAGUUACCCCCCAGCCCCAUAGGUGCCCUUCCAGCCCCAUAAGUGCCCCCCCCCAGCCCCAUAAGUGCCCUUCCAGCCCCAUAAGUGACCCACCAGCCCCAUAAGUGACACCUUCAGACCCAUAAGUGACACCUUCAGCCCCAUAAGUGCCCUUCAAGCCCCAUAAGUGCCUUUCCAGCCCCAUAAGUGACACCUUCAGCCCCAUAAGUGACACCUUCAGCUCCAUAAGUGACCUACAAGCCCCAUAAGUGCCUUCCCCAGCCCCAUAAGUGACCUCCCCAGCCCCAUAAGUGCCCUUCCAGCCCCAGAAGUGCCCUUCCAGCCCCAUAAGUGACCCCCCCAGCCCCAUAAGUGCCUUUCCAGCCCCAUAAGUGACCCCUUCAGCCCCAUAAGUGCCCCCCCAGGCCCCAUAAGUGACCUUCUAGCCCCAUAAGUGCCCCCUUCAGCCCCAUAAGUGACCCCCCCUGCCCCAUAAGUGCCCUUCCAGCCCCAUAAGU